rnacentral:rRNA from 1 species
CGAACGGGUGAGUAAUGCGUGACCAACCUGCCCCAUGCUCCAGAAUAGCUCUUGGAAACGGGUGGUAAUGCUGGAUGCUCCAACUUGAAGCAUGUCUUGUUGGGAAAGUGUUUAGUGGCAUGGGAUGGGGUCGCGUCCUAUCAGCUUGUAGGCGGGGUAACGGCCCACCUAGGCUUCGACGGGUAGCCGGCCUGAGAGGGCGGACGGCCACAUUGGGACUGAGAUACGGCCCAGACUCCUACGGGAGGCAGCAGCC